rnacentral:rRNA from 1 species
GAUGAACGCUAGCGGCAGGCCUAACACAUGCAAGUCGAGGGGCAGCACAGGUAGCAAUACUGGGUGGCGACCGGCGGAUGGGUGCGUAACGCGUAUGCAACCUACCAUUGAUUGGGGCAUAGCCCGAAGAAAUUCGGAUUAAUACUCCAUAAUAUUCAUUAAAGGCAUCUUUUAUGAAUUAAAGCUUUUGCGAUCAAUGAUGGGCAUGCGUGACAUUAGUUAGUUGGUGAGGUAACGGCUCACCAAAACGAUGAUGUCUAGGGGUUCUGAGAGGAUUAUCCCCCAACUGGUACUGAGACACGGACCAGACUCCUACGGGAGCAGCAGUGAGGAAUAUUGGUCAAUGGGCGGAAGCCUGAACCAGCCAUGCCGCGUGCGGGAUGAAGGCCCUACGGGUUGUAACCGCUUUUCCCCGGGAAGAAUAAGCCCCCGCGGGGGUCGAGUGCCGGUACCGGGGAAGUAAGGAUCGGCUAACUCCGUG